ACGGGGUGCAGCAGGCGCGAAAACUCCGCUAUGUGCGAAAGCACGACGGGGUCAUCUCGAGUGUCAGCCGAUGAGGUUGACUUUUCUUCGGUCCAAAAGGCCGGAGGAAUAAGGGGAGGGCAAGACUGGUGUCAGCCGCCGCGGUAAUACCAGCUCUCCGAGUGGUGUGGAUGGUUAUUGGGCUUAAAGCAUCCGUAGCCUGCUGAGCAAGUCCCCUGUUAAACCCAACGAUCUAAUCGUUGGUCUGCGGGGGAUACUGUUCGGCUAGGGGACGAGAGAGGCAGGCGGUAUUCCCGGGGUAGGGGUGAAAUCCUAUAAUCCCGAGAAGACCACCAGUGGCGAAGGCUGCCUGCUAGAACGGGUCUGACGGUGAGGGACGAAGCCCUGGGGAGCAAACGGGAUUAGAUACCCCGGUAGUCCAGGGUGUAAACGCUGCUCGCUUGAUGUUAGUCUGGCUCCGAGCCAGAUUAGUGUCGGAGAGAAGUUGUUAAGCAAGCUGCCUGGGAAGUACGAUCGCAAGACUGAAACUUAAAGGAAUUGGCGGGGGAGCAC
rnacentral:rRNA from 1 species